AGGCGGUUCAGAUCCCGGAAG
rnacentral:misc_RNA from 1 species